rnacentral:rRNA from 1 species
AUUGAACGCUGGCGGCAUGCUUUACACAUGCAAGUCGAACGGCAGCGCGGGCCUCGGCCUGGCGGCGAGUGGCGAACGGGUGAGUAAUACAUCGGAACGUGCCCAGUAGUGGGGGAUAGCUCGGCGAAAGCCGGAUUAAUACCGCAUACGACCUGAGGGUGAAAGCGGGGGAUCUUCGGACCUCGCGCUAUUGGAGCGGCCGAUGGCAGAUUAGCUAGUUGGUGGGGUAAAGGCCUACCAAGGCGACGAUCUGUAGCUGGUCUGAGAGGACGACCAGCCACACUGGGACUGAGACACGGCCCAGACUACUACGGGAGGCAGCAGUGGGGAAUUUUGGACAAUGGGCGAAAGCCUGAUCCAGCAAUGCCGCGUGUGUGAUGAAGGCCUUCGGGUUGUAAAGCACUUUUGGCGGGAACGAAAAGGACUGUGCCAAUACCACGGUUCGAUGACGGUACCCGCAGAAUAAGCACCGGCUAACUACAUG